rnacentral:rRNA from 1 species
UACGUAGGGGGCUAGCGUUGUCCGGAUUUAUUGGGCGUAAAGAGCGUGUAGGCGGCCAGGUAGGUCUGGUGUGAAAACUCGAGGCUUAACCUCGAGAUGUCAUCGGAAACCAUCUGGCUAGAGUCCGGAAGAGGAGAGUGGAAUUCCUGGUGUAGCGGUGAAAUGACGCAGAUAUCGGGAGGAACACCUAUGGCGAAGGCAGCUCGCUGGGACGUUACUGACGCUGAGACGCGAAAGCGUGGGGAGCAAACAGG